rnacentral:rRNA from 1 species
ACGGCAGCACGGGAGCAAUCCUGGUGGCGAGUGGCGAACGGGUGAGUAAUACAUCGGAACGUGCCCUGUCGUGGGGGAUAACUAGUCGAAAGAUUAGCUAAUACCGCAUACGACCUGAGGGUGAAAGCGGGGGACCGUAAGGCCUCGCGCGAUAGGAGCGGCCGAUGUCUGAUUAGCUAGUUGGUGGGGUAAAGGCCCACCAAGGCGACGAUCAGUAGCUGGUCUGAGAGGACGAUCAGCCACACUGGGACUGAGACACGGCCCAGACUCCUACGGGAGGCAGCAGUGGGGAAUUUUGGACAAUGGGGGCAACCCUGAUCCAGCAAUGCCGCGUGUGUGAAGAAGGCCUUCGGGUUGUAAAGCACUUUUGUCCGGAAAGAAAUCCCCUGCUCUAAUACAGCGGGGGGAUGACGGUACCGGAAGAAUAAGCACCGGCUAACUACGUGCCAGCAGCCGCGGUAAUACGUAGGGUGCGAGCGUUAAUCGGAAUUACUGGGCGUAAAGCGUGCGCAGGCGGUUUUGUAAGACAGGCGUGAAAUCCCCGAGCUCAACUUGGGAAUGGCGCUUGUGACUGCAAGGCUAGAGUAUGUCAGAGGGGGGUAGAAUUCCACGUGUAGCAGUGAAAUGCGUAGAGAUGUGGAGGAAUACCGAUGGCGAAGGCAGC